CGCGUGAGAAUCUGGCUUCAGGUUCGGGACAACAGUGGGAAACUGCUGCUAAUACCGGAUGUGCCUAUGGGUGAAAGAUUAAUUGCCUGAAGAUGAGCUCGCGUCUGAUUAGCUAGUUGGUGGGGUAAGAGCCCACCAAGGCGACGAUCAGUAACUGGUCUGAGAGGAUGACCAGUCACACUGGGACUGAGACACGGCCCAGACUCCUACGGGAGGCAGCAGUGGGGAAUUUUCCGCAAUGGGCGAAAGCCUGACGGAGCAAUACCGCGUGAGGGAGGAAGGCUCUUGGGUUGUAAACCU
rnacentral:rRNA from 1 species